GGCGAACGCUGGCGGCAGGCCUAACACAUGCAAGUCGAACGAACUCUUCGGAGUUAGUGGCGGACGGGUGAGUAACACGUGGGAACGUGCCUUUAGGUUCGGAAUAACUCAGGGAAACUUGUGCUAAUACCGAAUGUGCCCUUCGGGGGAAAGAUUUAUCGCCUUUAGAGCGGCCCGCGUCUGAUUAGCUAGUUGGUGAGGUAACGGCUCACCAAGGCGACGAUCAGUAGCUGGUCUGAGAGGAUGGCAACCCACACUGGGACUGAAACGCGGCCCAGCCUCCUACGGGAGGCAGGAGGGGGGAAUCUUGCGCAAUGGGCGAAAGCCUGACGCAGCCAUGCCGCGUGAAUGAUGAAGGUCUUAGGAUUGUAAAAUUCCUUCACCGGGGACGAUAAUGACGGUACCCGGAGAAGAAGCCCCGGCUAACUUCGUGCCAGCCGCCGCCGUAA
rnacentral:rRNA from 1 species